GGGGGGCGGCAGUGAGGAAUCUUCCACAAUGGGCGAAAGCCUGAUGGAGCGACGCCGCGUGCAGGAUGAAGGCUUUCGGGUCGUAAACUGCUUUUAUAAGUGAAGAAUAUGACGGUAACUUAUGAAUAAGCACCGGCUAACUACGUGCCAGCAGCCGCGGUCAUACGUAGGGUGCAAGCAUUAUCCGGAGUGACUGGGCGUAAAGAGUUGCGUAGGUGGACAAGUAAGCGAAUAGUGAAAUUUGACGGCUCAACCGUACAAACUAUUAUUCGAACUGCUUGUCUCGAGAAUGGUAGAGGUAAUUGGAAUUUCUUGUGUAGGAGUGAAAUCCGUAGAUAUAAGAAGGAACACCAAUGGCGUAGGCAGAUUACUGGACCAUUUCUGACACUAAGGCACGAAAGCGUGGGGAGCGAACCGGAUUAGAUACCCGGGUAGUCCACGCCGUAAACUAUGGAUACUAGCUGUUGGAGGUAUCGACCCCUUCAGUAGCGAAGCUAACGCGUUAAGUAUCCCGCCUGUGGAGUACGGUCGCAAGACUAAAACUCAAAGGAAUUGACGG
rnacentral:rRNA from 1 species